rnacentral:rRNA from 1 species
AUGAACGUUGGCGGCGUGGAUUAGGCAUGCAAGUCGAGCGCGAACCCGCAAGGGGGAGAGCGGCAAACGGGGUAGGAAGGAUUGGUGACGUACCCUCCGGACGGGGAUAGCCAUGGGAAACUAUGGGUAAUACCCGAUGACCUCCUGGGUUUGAAUACUCGGGUGCAAAGGUGUGAUUCCACCGGGGGAGCGGCCAAUCUGACAUCAGCUAGUUGGUAAGGUAAUGGCUUACCAAGGCAUUGACGUCUGGGGGGUGUGAGAGCAUGGCCCCCACCACUGGGACUGAGAUACUGCCCAGACACCUACGGGUGGCUGCAGUCGAGAAUCUUCGGCAAUGGGCGAAAGCCUGACCGAGCGACGCCGCGUGCGGGAUGAAGGCCUUCGGGUUGUAAACCGCUGUCAGAGGGGAUGAAGUGCUGGAUGGUAAUUCAUAAUCCAUCCGGUUUGACAGAGCCUCAGAGGAAGCACGGGCUAAGUAUGU